rnacentral:rRNA from 1 species
AACGUAGGAGACAAACGUUAUCCGGAGUUACUGGGCGUAAAGGGCGUGUAGGCGGUUUCGUAAGUCUGGCGUGAAAUAUCUCGGCUUAACCGAGGCAGGUCGUCGGAUACUGCGAGGCUAGAGGACGGUAGAGGCGUGUGGAAUUCCGGGUGUAGUGGUGAAAUGCGUAGAGAUCCGGAGGAACACCAGUGGCGAAGGCGACACGCUGGGCCGUACCUGACACUGAUGCGCGACAGCAUGGGGAGCAAACAGG